AUUGAACGCUGGCGGCAGGCCUAACACAUGCAAGUCGAACGAGUGGCGGACGGGUGAGUAAUGUCUGGGAAACUGCCCGAUGGAGGGGGAUAACUACUGGAAACGGUAGCGAAUACCGCAUACCAUCGGAUGUGCCCAGAUGGGAUUGGCUAGUAGGUGGGGUAAAGGCUCACCUAGGCGACGAUCCCUAGCUGGUCUGAGAGGAUGACCACCCACACUGGAACUGAGACACGGUCCAGAUUCCUAGGGGGGGCAGCAGGGGGGAAUAUUGCACAAUGGGCGCAAGCCUGAUGCAGCCAUGCCGCGUUUAUGAAGAAGGCCUUCGGGUUGUAAAGUACUUUCAGCGGGGAGGCGUUACCCGCAGAAGAAGCACCGGCUAACUCCGUGCCAGCAGCCGCGGUAAUUC
rnacentral:rRNA from 1 species